rnacentral:rRNA from 1 species
AGAGUUGAUCCUGGCUCAGGAUGAACGCUAGCUACAGGCUUAACACAUGCAAGUCGAGGGGAAACGAUAUUGGAAGCUUGCUUCCGAUAGGCGUCGACCGGCGCACGGGUGAGUAACGCGUAUCCAACCUGCCCACCACUUGGGGAUAACCUUGCGAAAGUAAGACUAAUACCCAAUGAUAUCUCUAGAAGACAUCUGAAAGAGAUUAAAGAUUUAUCGGUGAUGGAUGGGGAUGCGUCUGAUUAGCUUGUUGGCGGGGUAACGGCCCACCAAGGCAACGAUCAGUAGGGGUUCUGAGAGGAAGGUCCCCCACAUUGGAACUGAGACACGGUCCAAACUCCUACGGGAGGCAGCAGUGAGGAAUAUUGGUCAAUGGACGAGAGUCUGAACCAGCCAAGUAGCGUGCAGGAAGACGGCCCUAUGGGUUGUAAACUGCUUUUAUAAGGGAAUAAAGUGAGAGUCGUGACUCUUUUUGCAUGUACCUUAUGAAUAAGGACCGGCUAAUUCCGUGCCAGCAGCCGCGGUAAUACGGAAGGUCCGGGCGUUAUCCGGAUUUAUUGGGUUUAAAGGGAGCGUAGGCCGGAGAUUAAGCGUGUUGUGAAAUGUAGACGCUCAACGUCUGCACUGCAGCGCGAACUGGUUUCCUUGAGUACGCACAAAGUGGGCGGAAUUCGUGGUGUAGCGGUGAAAUGCUUAGAUAUCACGAAGAACUCCGAUUGCGAAGGCAGCUCACUGGAGCGCAACUGACGCUGAAGCUCGAAAGUGCGGGUAUCGAACAGGAUUAGAUACCCUGGUAGUCCGCACGGUAAACGAUGGAUGCCCGCUGUUGGUCUGAAUAGGUCAGCGGCCAAGCGAAAGCAUUAAGCAUCCCACCUGGGGAGUACGCCGGCAACGGUGAAACUCAAAGGAAUUGACGGGGGCCCGCACAAGCAGUGGAGUAUGUGGUUUAAUUCGACGCAACGCGAAGAACCUUACCAGGUCUUGACAUCGUAUGCAUAGUGUAGAGAUACACGAAGUCCUUCGGGACAUACAGACAGGUGGUGCAUGGUUGUCGUCAGCUCGUGUCGUGAGAUGUUGGGUUAAGUCCCGCAACGAGCGCAACCCUUGUAUUUAGUUGCUACGCAAGAGCACUCUAGAUAGACUGCCGUGGACAACACGGAGGAAGGUGGGGAUGACGUCAAAUCAUCAUGCCCCUUAUGACCUGGGCUACACACGUACUACAAUGGCAAUAGAACAGAGGGAAGCGACUCAGCGAUGAGAAGCAGAUCCCGAAAAAUUGUCUCAGUUCGGAUUGCAGGCUGCAACCCGCCUGCAUGAAGUCGGAAUUGCUAGUAAUCGCGGAUCAGCAUGCCGCGGUGAAUACGUUCCCGGGCCUUGUACACACCGCCCGUCACACCAUGGGAGUCGGUAACACCCGAAGCCCGUAGCCUAACAGCAAUGAGGGCGCGGUCGAAGGUGGGAUUGAUGACAGGGGUGAAGUCGUAACAAGGUA